CGUGCAGGCGGUUUGGUAAGUUGGAUGUGAAAGCUCCCGGCUCAACUGGGAGAGGACGUUCAAUACUGCCAGGCUAGAGGGCGACAGAGGGAGGUGGAAUUCCCGGUGUAGUGGUGAAAUGCGUAGAUAUCGGGAGGAACACCAGUGGCGAAGGCGGCCUCCUGGGUCGCACCUGACGCUAAGACGCGAAAGCUAGGGGAGCGAACG
rnacentral:rRNA from 1 species